GAAAUUGAAGAGCCGGCCGUCACCUUUACUCUUUCUUUUGCUUUCCCUUUCCCGCUAUUGUUGUCUUCCUCCAACAGCCUGCCGUCACCUCUGUUUUGAGCCGCAACUGGACGAUGAAGAAAUUGAAGAGCCGAUCGGCUUGUUUCUCCAACUGGCCGUCACCUUUAUUUUGGAGUGAAGCUCAAAAACUAGUGAUGGAUUACGGAGGAAUUGCUGGUAUGGUUCUCUUUAUCCCCACUUUUCCCUAAAGCUUGUCUUUGUGGCUGAAAAAUGAAACAAUAAAGCAUGGGAAAAUACUGCAACAACUGUGUGGACCACCUUUUGUAAUUGUAGUUUUGUUUGGUUUUGUAAAAGGCUCUGCAACAGCCAUAGUUGGCUGUGGUGCCAUGCCUUUUGUGUCCUUUCAGUGUCGGUUCCUUUUUUGUUUGGUUUUGGCUUCCCAGUUGCUGUUUAAACUUGUUUACUGGUACAUAUCCGAGUCGAAUUCGAGAAUUUGGCCGUUAUCUUGCUACACGGUGCUAAUUUGGAGGAUAUCGGCUGAUUCGGAGCGAUUCAAAUCGGAUAUGGUGUAAUCGACAUUUCGGGUAUUGGUAUCGAAACGGCACCUACCGUUUGGGUUAUGACUCGGCCGAGUCAUCUCGGACUCGGCCGAGUUGGCGAACCUUGCUCUUGGCAUGAAUUUUAAGUUCUUGAGGCUGCUCAAGGUGGGAUGAACAACAGUUUUCCUAGAAGUCAG
rnacentral:lncRNA from 1 species